rnacentral:rRNA from 1 species
AGUAACGGCGAGUGAAGCGGCAACAGCUCAAAUUUGAAAUCUGGCGCAAGCCCGAGUUGUAAUUUGUAGAGGAUGUUUCUGGCGACGGGCCUUCCGAGUUCCCUGGAACGGGACGCCAUAGAGGGUGAGAGCCCCGGACGGUGAGAUGCCUAGCCUCUGUGAAACUCCUGCGACGAGUCGAGUUGUUUGGG